UAAUUAUUAGUUUUCUUUCAUUUUUUUUAAGCUCAAUUAGUUAUUACUUUUUUUCUCUUUUUUUUAAGCAGAAUGAUUUACAGUUCUCUUCUUUUAUUAUGUUUUGUCUUGAUUCUUUUCAUAUUCAAUGAGUUUUGAGUUUACAUUGUUGAAUUUUGAUACUUAUGCAUUGUAUUGUACUAUGAGUACCGUAAAAUCUCUCUCUCUCUCUCUCUCUCUCUCUCUCUCUCUCUCUCUCUCUCUCUCUCUCUCUCUCUCUCGUGCACUGAUUUUUGCUGCAGUCAGUCAGAUGCUUAUUGUUUGAUUUGUUUUUCUUACUCAAGUUUCUCUCAGAUCACAAUGCCAAGGAAGUAUAUAAUUGGGAUAAUGUGAUCUUAUGCCUGAUGCAUUUUCUGUGUUCUGCUUGUCCAGAUCUUAUAUCUGAUUCAUUGAUCAUAUAAAGAAAUCAUAGGGACUUGCAGUUAUCUUCCUGUUCCACAAGUAGGAUUUGAUGACUAAAGCAUGCAUAGUGUCUUCGUAGAAAAUAAAGAAUUUGGGUCGUUAUAUUCUUAUUAUGGCAAACAAUUUAUAUCUAUUACAAAAAAGUAUAUGUUAAAGGAAGAAAAAGGGGCUUGACGAUUCUUUCUAUACCUUUUUUAUACUGUAAUGUGAAAAAUGCAGUAGAGUAGUAGACUAGUACAAAUAAAUAAAAACAGGGGUAGUUUAGAGAAGAUAUAGAUGUCUUAAUUUAAGAGAAUACAAAAUUAUUACAUGGGUAGGGUAAGAGAGAAGUACAAAGGUGAUGCAUGGAAGAAAAUUGAAAGGAGUGUUGGAGGGAAUAUUCCCUACCAAACUGAAAUCCAAUGCCAUUCAUAAUCUUUUCUUAUUCAAGUUAAAACACUAAACCAGGAAUUCCUUUCACUGAUGAUUACAAGUCACAUUAUUAUUAUUAUUAUUUAUUUAUUUAUUUAUUUAUUUUUUUGUGGGGGGGUAGAUUUAUCCACUUUGUGGUAGAUAUAAAUUUGCACUCUGCAUAAUGAUCUAAUCAUUGCUCAUUUUUGAAUAUGAUGAAAGCCAGAGAUGAGCUUAUUGCACUGACUUUGUGUCAUGUAUUAUUACUAAACAGGAUGAAUGAAUUUUAAUUGCUUUUUAUUUUGGAAACUCUGGGCAUUGGCAAAGACGUAUUUCCCUCGCUUCUGCCUACUAAGAUUUCUCGUAGAAGUACAACCUAUAAACAUGAAAUGAAGUAAAACUUGGUUGAAGAUGUUAAAACUAUAUAUGACGAGAUCUGGACAACAUACAACUUACAUACACUAAAAAUUAAGCGGGCAGAUGCUUUGAAUGUAAUAAUGCAAAUGGCCUACAUGGAUAUAGAAAUGCUGAACCUAACUAAUACGCCUGUCGUAAAUUUAGAUCUUAAAUUUUGUUCGAACAUACUCGGCACGGUUUAGCAGGCAAAAAACUGAAAUAAAUCAAAAUUUUCGCAUUGGCUUUGAUGCAAAUCAAGUUGCAUUCAUGUGGAGUUAAAUCUAUUCCUUCUGUAUCAAAGUGAAACUGAUUAUAUAUUCGUAUCAUUAAAUCCCAUUCAUAUUUUGUACAUUUCACAAUAUAGGUUCUUUAUCCUAAAUUCCUAAUUAUCAUAUUCUAAUCCUUUCUAUAUAGGUGAUUGAGUUUCAGUCUGGCUCUCUAGAUAAUUUUUUGUGCCUGAAGAUGUGCAUUCAGACACUUGAGCAAUAGGCAUGCAAUUUUAUGGUAGAAUAAUUUCAGUAGCACAGUAUGUCCUUUGAUUCCUCAUUUAGUUGGCAUGUAAAUUUCAAAAGUUGGCUCAGAGUCUAAAUACACUUGAACAACAGGCAUCUAUUCUACAUCAGCACAAUAAUUUCAGUAGCUGAGUAUGUAUUUUGAUUCCUUAGUUGACUUGGAAAUUUAUAAAGUUGGCUCAGAGUCUUAAUAUAGUUAGAAGCCAGUCUGCAAUCUUAGUUGGUCAAGUGCAAGCAGCAAUCAAAGAUAUGAUUUUUCAAAUAUCAUACAUGAUAAUUGAGGUAUAAAAUAAGAACUAUGAGUUAACUUAGUCGGCUCUUCAGUGCCUUUAGAACUAUGCAAAUCAGAAUCUAUUUGUGACUUUAACAUUUUAUUGAAGAGCUUUUAGAAUUAAAAGAAAAUUAUGGUUCGUCAUGUAGACCAUAUGAUGAUUCUGGCCAAGAUUUAUCUUGUUUAUGGUUGUUUUUCUUAUUUGUUUGAAGACUUGUGAGAUUCUAGUUUACUUGAGGGGAGGGACUUGUGUUACAUAUCUGGUUGCCCUUAGUCUAGUUAUAUACUCUUAAAUUCGAUAGAUAAACCAUGAAAUAAUAAUUGGAUUUUUGCAUAUAUAAAUAUAUCCUUGCAAAUAUAAGGUAUUUUAUAAUUACCCCUCAAAAAUCACUAUUUGCAUAUAUACCCCUCAAUUCAUACUGUUAUAUUUUUGGUUGAGAGUGUUAACAUUGAUUCUUUUUAAAUAUAAAUUGACUCCAUUACCUGUUUGCAUUAAUAUCAUUGAAAAAAUUCAAUAUUCAACUUCCCUUUUGAAGAGUUGUUUUUACAUGCAUUUUUUAGGGUACUGAUGCAAAAUAUAAUGAUUCUAUGCUUGAAAUAAUUACGAAUUAACACUGUCAGCCAAAAAUAUAAUGAUAAGUGACUGCUGCGAAAAACAGGAUAAAAUGAGGGUGUGUCUAUAUAUAUAUAAAUAGUAAAUUUUAAGGGGUAAAUGUGCAAUAUCCCAUGCAGGGAUAUAUAUGCAAAAACCCCAUUAGUGGAUACGUUUUCUAUCUCUUCAAUUUUACUCUGCUGUAUAUAAUUCAUUUCUAGUGUGCUUCUGCAACAACCUUGAACAUCACCAGUUGCAUUUUCUUUAAUCCAAAAUUUGCAUUCUUUUAGUGCUUAUUGAUUUUACUGGCAAACCUGGGCUU